AGAGUUGAUUAUGGCUCAGGAUGAACGCUAGCGACAGGCUUAACACAUGCAAGUCGAGGGGCAUCACGGGAGUAGCAAUACAACUGGUGGCGACCGGCGCACGGGUGAGUAACGCGUAUGCAACCUACCUAUCAGAGGGGAAUAACCCGGCGAAAGUCGGACUAAUACCGCAUAAAACAGGGGCACCGCAUGGUGAUAUUUGUUAAAGAAAUUCGCUGAUAGAUGGGCAUGCGUUCCAUUAGGUAGUUGGUGAGGUAACGGCUCACCAAGCCGACGAUGGAUAGGGGAACUGAGAGGUUGGUCCCCCACACUGGUACUGAGACACGGACCAGACUCCUACGGGAGGCAGCAGUGAGGAAUAUUGGUCAAUGGGCGGGAGCCUGAACCAGCCAAGUCGCGUGAAGGAAAAGAAGGAUCUAUGGUUCGUAAACUUCUUUUGCAGGGGAAUAAAGUGCAGGACGUGUCCUGUUUUGUAUGUACCCUGAGAAUAAGGAUCGGCUAACUCCGUGCCAGCAGCUGC
rnacentral:rRNA from 1 species